UUGACGGAGACACACAGCUCCCUUUUCUUGCUAAGGGGUGCUGGGGAGGGGUUGGGGUGGGGUGAGUGUGUGUGUAUGUGUGACAGCUGCUUGGUUGAGUCGAACAUCUAUCUCCACAGUGGGAGGUCUCUGAGCAGGGCUUAAAUAUUGGGCAGGGUUGGGCUCCUGUCUAGAAAUUUAUUUUCCAUAGCAAGUGGCCUUGCGGGGGGACAGUGUGCUCCUUGGUCAACAGCCGGAGAGGGGUAUCUGUGAGCUGGUCCUUGAGCCUGGUUCUGGGGCUGCAGUCGCAGCUUUGCCAGCCCCCUCUGGUCCUGGCAGCCCCUGCAGUGCUCAUUGGAUGGCAGAAGGGGGCGCUAGUUCUCAUAUUGAGAGGAAAUCUCUGGCUCUGGUAGGUCUUGGGACAUUUAAGGUCUUGGGAGAACCACUUAAUUCAGCUUUCUGAGACCCGACUUGCUACCAGACGCUUUUCCACAUUUGAGUUCAUGUAUCCUUGUUUUUCAUGUUUGGAAAUUGACGCCGAGGGAGGUAAAGAACUUUCCUGAGGCUGUUGCAGCUUGUGGGUAAGAGGCACGGCUUAGGGUUUGAUUCCAAGAGGCAGGGGUUCCUCCUUCUAAGCCCAGGGAGCUUUCCACACUAGGGCUUAUGAGCUGAAGAGUGUUUUGGUAACCUCUGACUUUCCGUACCUUGUUUAGCAUCAGCCCUAGAGUGGGUGCCCUGUGUUUGCUGAGUGUAUCCAGGGCAGCCUCUCCUUCCUCAUUCCUGAUGAGGAAGCUCAGGCACGGGGCGGGGCGAGAGGGGGGCUCCGGAGCGCGAGGCCCCCUCUCCACGUGUGCCCGCACUGGAGCCCUGUGAAUUUCCAGGAGGCUGGUUUGAUGAUAGGCUGCUGCCGCUUUGUUUGCACAUUCCCGGUCCGUGCCCACAUUGGUAUGGGGUAGGUGGCAUCUUUGCCCUUUUCUCGAGGCUUAAACUGAUACAGUCAACGUCUGAAAUGUCUUCUAGUGAUGGAGAACCAUCAGGUAGUGUUACCGGCAAUAACCUUUGACGCUUUUUAAAACAAUGUGCGUCCGGAAUCUCAAGCAGUCAAACCCUCCCUCGCGACGGGCAGAGCAGGGACUGGUCCGUCCGUGGCUCCGUUUGAGGGUCGUUCUGAAUAUGGUUAGAAGCGAGGAAAACGAAAACACAUUGUUGCAUCCAACCUGGGGUUUUCAAAGUGAAUUACGUUCUUAAUCAUUUAACAUCUUGUUAGUUUUUUGUUUUUUUUUGGUUUUUUUUGGUUAAAACGCAUUCAGUGCCUCUUAUGUGGUUACAGAUAUAGAUAUGAAUAUGACACAGUGCCUGUCAUCAAAACAUUCACAGUUUAGUGGGGAAGGCAGACCAUGUGUUAGGGAUACACAUUUGCGAGCAGAGAUGGGAGGCAUCCAGCCCAGCGUGGAAAUGAUGUCUGAGCUGAGCUUCAAGGGUGAUUCUCAAGUGGUCAGCCUUGAACGGCGGUCCCAGUGCAGAGCAAAUAAGACAAGCAAGGGGUAGGAGGUGAGAAAGCAGCCUGGAGUUUGCAGUUCCUGGAGGCAGGGAGCGACAAGAGGAGAGGUUGCAAGGAUGGAUGGAGAUUUU